UUGAAUUAUGUUUUCUUGGUGGGCUGUUGCUGGCUCCUCGGAGCAUGUGCACGCCUGUCAGGACUUCAUUCUCAUCCACCUGUGCACCAUUUGUAGACUUUGGGAAAAGAGUCAGGGCUUUUGCCCUGGAUGUGAGGUUUGCAUUUCUGCUUUCCUCUGUGUCCCACUGUCUAUGUUUUCAUAUACCCUGUAGUAUGUCAAUGAAUGUCUUUACAUGGGCUUCUGUGCCUGUGAUAAAAACUAUA
rnacentral:misc_RNA from 1 species